rnacentral:rRNA from 1 species
UGGGGAAUUUUGCACACUGGGGGAAACCCUGAUGCAGCGACGCCGCGUGAUUUAGAAGGCCUUCGGGUUGUAAAAAUCUUUUCUAUGGGAAGAAAAUGACAGUACCAUAGGAAUAAGGACCGGCUAAUUACGUGCCAGCAGCCGCGGUAAUACGUAAGGUCCGAGCGUUGUCCGGAAUCAUUGGGCGUAAAGGGUACGUAGGCGGGUAAGCAAGUUAGAAGUGAAAUCCUAUAGCUCAACUAUAGUAAGCUUUUAAAACUGCUCAUCUUGAGGUAUGGAAGGGAAAGUGGAAUUCCUAGUGUAGCGGUGAAAUGCGCAGAUAUUAGGAGGAAUACCGGUGGCGAAGGCGACUUUCUGGCCAUAACCUGACGCUGAGGUACGAAAGCGUGGGUAGCAAACAGG